rnacentral:lncRNA from 1 species
CUUACUGUCCCCUAUCCACUGUUUCCUUCUUCGCCUGUCAGCUGCUUUGGCCUGCCAUUAAUUUCACCAACUCCCUGCUGUCAUUCUCUGGUUUUCUCAUUCUUCGGCAUGGGGUGUAUGUACAUACAUACGUAUAAAACUAACCUAACCAGCAGUGUAAUGCCUUUGUAUUGUUCACGCAAAUUUUAUUUCCGCUGCGUCAUGAACAUCAUAAUGUCGUCGUAGCUGUACUCGCCCUCCCAACAAUUCAGCUUGAGCCUUUAGUCCUUUAGUAAUCC